rfam:Cavia porcellus supercont2_15 genomic scaffold, whole genome shotgun sequence.
GGGGAUUUAGCUCAGUGGCAUAAGCACCUGCCUUGCAAGCAGGCCGUUGUGAGUUUGAUCCCCG